CUGCUUCAUAUGAAACACCUACGACGACAUCGACAUGUUUCAGUCCUGCUUCAUAUGAAACACCUACGACGACGUCGACAUGUUUCAGUCCUGCUUCAAUACAUUUUGGAUGGAUGGCCUUUGGACAACAGUUGCCAGUGGUAGUAUGAUAGUGAUAUUUGGGUAGCGAUGGCAGAACAUAUCAUGGUCAGUUGAAAAUAUUCAUCGUGAAAUAAAAAAUAAGAAGAAGAUAUCUCUUACCUGCUAUAACCUGUUGAGUUGCUUGGGUGAAUACAGGCUGCUUGGUAGUGAUGAUCUCAGGCCACUGGUCAACAUCAUCAGUAACAAUGGGAAUGUCCCGAGGUUGCUCCUCAGGUUCUGACUCUAUCUUCUUGGGUCCCUUGACCCCUCUUUUACCAUCCUGUCUGCCCAGCUCCCGGUCACCUUCCUGGGCCUUGAACAAGGCGCUGUAGGGCAGGUCCUGGAGAAGUAGCUCCACAUUGAUGGUUGGAGCCCGGCACGGGGCAUUGGCAGGCUGCUGUAAGCCCAGUGGAGGUGCUUUCCCCUGGGGCUGGAGGGCUGGGAAGUCAGCCAUCAGGUCAUAAAGCUCCUGUUGGGUUGUUGAUGGAGAUGAAGCUAGGGCCUUGGUUGGGUCUGUAAUCCUGAUGGCUGGGACCUUGGCUGGGGCUGGAGUUGAAGAACGGGCUGUGGCUGUGACCUGGAUGACUGGGACCUUGGCUGGAGUUGGGACUGGGACAGGAGUUGAGGCUGGACCUGAAGCUGAGGCCUUGAUACAGGCAGGUACUUUGCCCAGAAGGUUGAAGGGGCCAGGGAUGGGGAUGAGAGGCUUGGGGAGGUUGGCAGGCGGAGAGCCCUGCCACAGCCUGUCACCUUGCCAUGGAGACGCGGCGUUCGGCAGAGGGGGAAAGUCGUCUUCGCUGGGGGCCAGGUUGGGGGCCAGGUUGGGGAGCAGGUUGGGGGCCAGGUUGGGGAGCAGGGAUGAGAGAUCAGGGAGCAAGUCAGGAACUAAAUGGGAGAGGUUAGCACCGAGGUCAGGGUUCAGCAGGAUGGAGUCCAACAGGUAAGGGUUAGGAAUAUGGAGAGGUUCCACCAUGAUGGAACUGUCCUCCCCUCUACCCUCCUGCCCUGGGAUCAGGAGGCCCCUGAGGUACUUGGCAAUGUCCCUCCUUUGCUCCUCCUCUGGGUUCACCUAGUAUUGGUAAAAUAGAAUAACAUGGUUUACCCUUUCAGAUUGCUUUUUUGUUGUUGUCCAGCACUAGGCUUAAAUGGGUCCAGGAAACCACCCCUUUAGUGGCCUAUCUGAUGAUCAAACCCAUUAUCUCUGGUGUAGUAAAAUUCUAACCUUUUCCUCCUCCUUCUUCUUCUCCACCUGUGUCUCCCAUAUGGGGUCAUCGCCAUGGGAACAGUCGUCACACCGGACAUCGUCAGGGCGCUGAGAGGAGACGGAGAGGUCAUGUCGAUCUUUCUCUGUCUGUGACGUCAAAGUCUGGAACUCCCUCUCCACCAUCAGAGAGAUCUCAUCCAGCCUAUUCAGAGAGCGAG
rnacentral:lncRNA from 1 species